GCCUUCGUGGUGUAGUGGUCAGCACGCUCGACGCGCAACCGAGAGGUCCGUGGUUCGAUUCCUGGCGAAGACG
rnacentral:tRNA from 1 species